rnacentral:misc_RNA from 1 species
GAUGAAGAAGUAGCGAAAUGCGAUAAGUAAUGUGAAUUGCAGAAUUCAGUGAAUCAUCGAAUCUUUGAACGCACAUUGCGCCCAUUAGUAUUCUAGUGGGCAUGCCUGUUCGAGCGUCAUUUCAACCCUUAAGCCCCUGUUGCUUAGCGUUGGGAGCCUACAGCCUGCUGUAGUUCCUCAAAGUUAGUGGCGGAGUCAGUUCACACUCUAGACGUAGUAAAAUCUUUAUCUCGCCUAUAGAUGAGCUGGCGCCUUGCCGUAAAAAACCCCUAAUCUUUUACAAGGUUGACCUCGGAUCAGGUAGGAAUACCCGCUGAACUUAAGCAUAUCAAUAAGCGGAGGA